rnacentral:lncRNA from 10 species
UCUUGCUGACAAUAAAGAUGACUUGCCAGACAAAUGAGUGAUCCACAUUAAAUGGAAGUGAAUUAUCUAACCCGACCAAGCCUUCAGAUGAUUAUCGAAUGGGCCAACAUUGUGAUUAAAACCUCAUGAGAUACUUUAAACCAAAACAGCCACUCCCAAAUUCUGGACCGACAGGAACUACCUAUUGCUGGUUUAAGUUUUCAGGAAGCUGGCCAUAAAGAAAUCUCUGACCUACCUUGACAGA